AUGGAGGGUGUUACAGUGUUUAUUGUUGGUGCUGGGCCAGCAGGCCUCGCAACGGCAGCAUGCCUUAGCCAAUUCUCAAUUCCUUAUGCCAUCGUCGAGCGCGAGAGCUGUAGCGCGUCACUCUGGCGCAACCGCGCGUAUGAUCGCCUCAAGAUGCAUCUCGCAAAGGAGUUCUGUGAGUUGCCACACAUGUCAUACCCUAUAGAUGCACCAACAUACAUACCAAAAACCUUGUUUGUGAAGUACUUGGAUGACUAUGUUGAGCGUUUCAACAUUCAACCAAAGUAUCUCACCAGCGUGGAGUCAUCCACAUAUGAAAAUGAUGAAAAAUGUUGGUCCAUUGUGGCAAAGGACAUGUCAAAGGAUCUGGCAACUCCGGGAUGGAAAUUGCUUAUGACCUUGCGACCCAUGGUGCCAACACAUCGAUUGUUAUAUGAAGCCCGGUACGUACGUGCACUAUAUAUUUUC
rnacentral:rRNA from 1 species